rnacentral:rRNA from 1 species
GGACGGGUGAGUAAUGUCUGGGAAACUGCCUGGUGGAGGGGGGUAACUACUGGAAACGGUAGCUAAUACCGCAUAACGUCGCAAGACCAAAGAGGGGACCUUCGGGCCUCUUGCCAUCGGAUGUGCCCAGAUGGGAUUAGCUAGUAGGUGGGGUAACGGCUCACCUAGGCGACGAUCCCUAGCUGGUCUGAGAGGAUGACCAGCCACACUGGAACUGAGACACGGUCCAG